rnacentral:tRNA from 2 species
ACGAGUAUGGAUUAAUGAUAAACCGUUUGUCUUCCAAACAAAUUAUGCUGGUUUGAUUUUAACUAUUCAUA